GCCUGAUUGGCUCAGUCAGUAGAGCAUGUGACUCUUGAUCUCAGGGUUGUGAGUUCAAGCCCCACAUUGGGCA
rfam:Felis catus isolate Cinnamon breed Abyssinian chromosome C1, whole genome shotgun sequence.